AAUACCAUCAGUGGAAGCAAGUGUGAAAUCAAGGUGGCCCAGCCCAAGGAGGUCUAUCAGCAUCAGCAGUACUGCUCAGGGGGCCGUGGAAACCGCAACCAAGGGAACCGAGGCAGCAGUGGUGGAGGUCAGAGUCAGAGUUGGAAUCAGGGCUACAGCAACUACUGGAACCAGGGCUACAGCUACCAGCAGGGCUACAGGCCGGCUAUGGCUGCUACGACUACUCGCCCUGUGGCUAUUACAGCUACCGACCCGGCUAUGACAACAGUCAGGGUAGUACAAAUUACGGGAAGAGCCAGCGACGCAGGGGCCAUCAGAAUAACUACAAGCCUUACUCAGGUGGCGGCAGGAGCAGCCGGCGACUGACCGCACGCGCUUUGUUUGGAUACGGAGCAAACACAAUUAUGUACCAAAUUUAA